AUGUUAGCUAUCAUUGGGAUUCAGGGCUAUGAUCAGAGUGAUUCCAUGUAUUACGUGAAGGAAGGUGGUGUAGGAAUGUCAGGGAUGCAACUAAUCAGGAGUGAUGAAGAUGUUGAAGAGAUGUUGGAGUUCUAUGAGGACAAGAUGUGUGUUACUAUCACUGUUAUGAAAGGUAGAGAGAUUGAGAGGGCAGAACUGCAGAUUAACAUUGGAGAUGAGCAGCAAAUUCCUAUUUCACAGAUAGGUUCACCUAAAAUAUAUAAUGUAGAUGAAGAAGGUGUGUUGUAUGCAAGUCAGACAAAUGAAAAAGCAGAACAUGCAGCAUGA
rnacentral:rRNA from 1 species